rnacentral:lncRNA from 1 species
GGGGGCCGAGGCGGGGAAACCGCGGGGGGGAGGAGACCCGAGGCGCAGCGAGUGGCGCCGGAGGGGAGGGGCUGGCGGCCUCCCGCUGCCCACCUGGGCUCGCGCCCCUCUGCGGCGCCCGCUCUUCAGCUGCCUGGGACCCAGAUUACCCGUGUUAGCUCCCACCCCCUCCAUUUCGAAACAGCCUCGCGCGGGGGGGUGGGGGGCCGUGUGUGUGCCAUUAUUGCUCCCUGAAAUUUGCAGACCCGAGAGGAAAGCGAUUCGCAGCGUCGCUCGUAUUUGAAUCGAAACCCAGAGCAAUUUGGGAAGAAACUCGGGGCACAUUUGCAAAAGGACAGCUAGCUUGAAAAGCCGAGGCCAGAGCAGGCUGCUCACCAAGGCCGCUCCGCGCCCACCCCACCCCUGCUCGCCGCCUCUCGUAAAUCACUAGGGGCACAGUCCUUGCAUUGGUGACUUUUGAACAAGCCCCUCCUCGGCAACCAAAGUUCGUUCCGAGUAUGAGGGGGGAAAGAGGGGUGGGGGAGGGACAUUUGGAACGCAGGAGAAAUGCAGUCCGAUCGGAAUCGCCAGACAAGCACCAAAAAAAGCGUGUGGAUUCCCCUUCUGCAAGGUCUCGCUGCGCCCACAUCUCGGAAGAAACGAAGAGGAAAACAGAAGAGCCCUCGCAGUUAAAACCCAGCCAUUUCCAGACUCACCCAGCAAUUCCAAAGCCUUUUGAUCAAACCAGUCACAGUGUGAUGUCAUCUCCACGGAGGCUCUGCCCCAUACAAGUUUCAGGUUCCACUGGAGCUGCCAGCACAGAGGAAGGAAUUCAGUAAUGGUGUGUAAAUAAUAGGUGGCAUACUCUGGAAGAUAGAAACCACACAGUGGCCACACCUACAGAAACUAUACUUGGAAUGGAAGCCACAGUGAAAGAAUCUGGUGGAAAGCCUCUGUUUCUGAUGACAACAUGGCGCUGCCUUGACAGCUCUAAACUGUCUACCUCUGGAUUUCUUUUAUGUAAAAUAUAAUAAAUGGUGUCUAUGCUAUUUACAACUCUGUUCUUUUGGAUUUUCUCUUAUUACCAAUUUCAGAACUUCUUCCAAUCAGUUUGGGCUGUUUAAGUCUAAUUAUUGAAACACUUUAAUGCAUCUUUAACAAUGGACAAUGUAACUCUCCCACAAAUUUCUUUAUACUAUUUUAGCCCAGUUUUUCAAUUGUAUGAACUUCAAUAAUAUUUUGUAAUCACAAAACAUUUAAAAUUUUUAAUUGUGAUUUUAUAGUUAUUUUUGUAAUUAUAUUUUAUUUUAUUGUAAUUAUAAUUGUUUUUAUUAUAAUCAGAUUACUUUUUGAGCCAUAUUAGGGAGAACUAUUAUACUUACACUAUUAAUUUUUCUCCAUCAGAGACAAAAUACCUUCAUUUGCUAGUCUUUUUUGUACUCCAACGACUUUUUGUAGUUUACUCUAUUUAGAUUCUGCACAUUAUAGGGCAUUUAUAUUUUUUGUUGUUACUAAGAAUAAAAUAUUUUCGCUUAGAUUUUUCAAAUGGACUGUUGCUGGUACAUAAGGUACUAUCAAAGUUUGCCUUAAUGUGAUAUUUAGACAUUUUUCUGGGUUUAUUUAUGAGUUUUGAUUAUGUUUUAAUUGAUUCUCUUGCAUUUUCUUAGUAAACAAUAACAUUAUCUGAAAAUUAUAAUAAUUUUACCACUUAUUUCCAAUAGUUAUUUGUCUGGGUUGUUUUUGUCAUACUUUUGCAUCGAUUAGCAUAUCUAGAUAAUAUUUGAUAAUGGUAAUAGUGUACUCCUUGUGUUCUCGGCUUUAAAGGUAAAUUCCAUUUUUCUGAUAUUCAAUAGGAUGAUGGUUUAAGAUACUACUAUUCUUUACUGUAUUAGAGAUGAAUUGUUCUGUCCUAGUUUAUCAUGUUUUCCCUUGUACUGAAUAGAUGAAAGAAAACAUUCUACAACAUAAUCAUUUUGGAACUUCUACUGGAUGAAUAUUAAUUAUUCUGACUCUCUUUCAUUUUAUCUUACACCUUGUCUCAUCCAAUAAAGAUUUUUUUUGAGUUGCAGUUCCUUUUUGCUUUUCAUUGCUUUAGAUAUUUUAUUCGCCAUCUACUUGAGCAUGACCAAUCAACAUAAACUUUUACUGAGUUAAUUUUUUCCCCAAAUUUUCUUCAGUAUCCCAAUCUGAUGCCUCUGUUCAGUGUUGGUUAGCAUUUU